rnacentral:lncRNA from 1 species
CCCCCCCCCCCCCCCCCCCCCCCCCCCCCCCCCCCCCCCCCCCCCCCCCCCCCCCCCCCCCCCAGCGGGACAGGGAACACCGGGACAGGGGACACCGGGACAGGGAACAUCGGGCCGGGGUGCCGGACGGGGAGGAGACUCCUUUUUGUGGGUGUGGGACAAGGACACCGGUCCGCGGCUGUGGGACAGGGGACACCGGGCCGGAGUUGCGGCGCUGGAGGUUCCCGAGACCGGGGACGCGGUGACGAGGGUUUGUCCCUGCGGUUCUCUUCACCCCCCACCUGCUCCUGGAGCUGUCCAGUCCGGAGGCGGGUGGGCAGGGAACCUACUUAGAGUUCUGCCAGCUUACCCGUGACACGGCUCUGCCCGAGGCGUUUGUAGGGAGCUGUGCUUGCAAAUAAAGGCAGCUGAGCAGAAGGUCCCUAGCCUGGGCACAGGGGGAAAAGGUUGGUGUUACUCCUUCGGGACGGCAGGACCCGAGGGAGCAGCUCGAGCUCUCUCAGGGGAUGUUUAGGUUGGGUAUCGGGAAUGGUUCUCCCCCGAGAGGGUGGUCGGGCCCUGGAACAGGAUCCCCAGGGAAGUGGCCACAGCCCCAAGGCUGGCAGAGUGUAAAGAGCAUUUGGACAACACUCCCCGGUGGCCACAGCCCCAAGGCUGGCAGAGUGUAGAGAGCAUUUGGACAACGCUCCCAAGGUUGGUGUUACUCCUUCGGGACGGCAGGACCCGAGGGAGCAGCUCGAGCUCUCUCAGGGGAUGUUUAGGUUGGGUAUCGGGAAUGGUUCUCCCCCGAGAGGGUGGUCGGGCCCUGGAACAGGAUCCCCAGGGAAGUGGCCACAGCCCCAAGGCUGGCAGAGUGUAAAGAGCAUUUGGACAACACUCCCCGGCACGUGGUGGUAUUCAGGCUGUCCUGCACAGGGCCAGGAGCUGGACUCACCCAUCCUGGUGGGUCCCGUCCAACUCAGCAUAUUGUUUGAUUUUAUGUUCCAUUUUACAUGUUUUGUCGUCACGCACACAGGAACUUGGCUAAACUUUUCCUUCCCAAACACACAGCAGGAAAUAUUGUGCUUUACAGGCUGUUCCAAGCACAUUUGGUUCCUGCUUCAUCUGUUCGCUUGUUUUUUCUGCAUAGGUGAGCAGUGGGGAUGGAUAUGGACAGUGUGUUCUCAGGCUCCUCUCUGCAGAGCCUUGCCAAACUGCUGCGUGAUGCUCCAGAAGAGGAGGAUGAUGAUUAUGAUGAUGUGCCGUGCUGUUCUGUUGGUGCCAUGA